AUGCCGCCUCCCGCUCGCCGCCGCUCCCACUCCGUCCCCGUGACCGCGGCCCUCCUCGCCGCCGCGCUCCUCGUCUUCGCCGCCGGCGCGGGCGCCGACGACGGGCGGACGCUGCUGGAGAUCAAGAAAUCCUUCCACGAUGCCGACAACGCGCUGGACGAUUGGUCCGGCGACGGGGCGUCCCCGGGCUACUGCUCCUGGCGCGGCGUGCUCUGCGACAACGUCACCUUCCAAGUUGCAGCUCUCAACCUCUCAGGGUUCAAUCUCGGCGGCGAAAUCUCCCCGGCCAUCGGGGAUUUGAAGAGCGUCGUGUCAAUUGAUUUUCAGUCCAGUGGACUUUCCGGGCAGAUCCCUGAUGAGAUUGGUGAUUGCUCCUCGCUUAAAAUGUUGAACCUGUCCUCCAACAAUCUGGAAGGAGACAUACCCUUUUCCAUAUCUAAGCUGAAGCACCUUGAAAACUUGAUAUUGAAGAAUAAUCAGUUGGUGGGGGUGAUCCCGUCGACACUCUCUCAGCUUCCAAAUUUGAAGAUAUUGGACUUAGCUCAGAACAAGCUAAGCGGUGAAAUUCCAAGGUUAAUAUACUGGAGUGAGGUUCUUCAAUACUUGGGACUGCGAAGCAAUAAAUUAGAAGGAAGCCUCUCUCCAGAUAUGUGCCAAUUGACUGGCUUGUGGUACUUUGACAUGAAGAACAAUAGCUUGAUGGGCACAAUACCAGAUACCAUUGGGAACUGUACGAGCUUUCAGGUCUUGGAUUUGUCUUACAAUCACCUUACUGGAGAAAUCCCAUUCAACAUUGGUUUCCUGCAAGUGGCUACAUUGUCUUUGCAAAGGAACAACUUCUCUGGCCCUAUUCCAACAGUGAUCGGCCUUAUGCAGGCGCUUGCAGUGCUGGAUCUGAGUCUUAACCAAUUGUCUGGCCCAAUACCAUCUAUACUUGGCAACUUGACAUACACUGAAAAAUUAUACCUGCAAGGCAAUAAGCUAUCUGGGCCAAUACCACCAGAGCUUGGUAAUUUGUCGGCGCUUAAUUAUUUGGACCUCAAUGACAAUAAACUGACUGGGCUCAUUCCACCUGAGCUUGGAAAACUCACAGCCUUGUAUGACGUGAAUCUUGCAAAUAAUGAACUUGAGGGAAUGAUACCUGGUAAUAUAAGUUCAUGCACAAGUCUUGUUAGCUUCAAUGCUUAUGGCAAUAAAUUGAAUGGGACCAUCCCACGUUCAUUGCACAAGCUUCAGAGCAUGACUUAUUUGAAUUUGUCAUCUAAUUAUCUUAAUGGAGCAAUUCCCACUGAGCUAGCAAGAAUGAUAAACUUAGACGUACUGGAUUUAUCAUGUAACAAGAUCGCUGGUUCGAUUCCUUCAGCAGUCGGCAGCUUAGAGCAUCUUUUGAGACUUAACUUGAGCAAGAAUAAUCUGGUGGGACACAUUCCUGCUGAGUUUGCAAACUUGAGGAGCAUCACGGAGAUUGAUUUGUCCUACAACCACAUUAAUGGUUUCAUUCCUCGAGAGCUUGGAAUGCUGCAAAAUCUGAUACUGUUAAAACUAGAGAGUAACAAUAUGACUGGGGAUGUUUCUUCACUUACUAACUGCUUCAGUCUCAAUGUCUUAAAUAUAUCAUACAACAACCUGGCUGGCGUUGUACCUACAGACAACAACUUUUCACGGUUUUCACCUGACAGCUUCCUGGGUAAUCCUGGACUAUGUGGCUCCUGGCGUGGUUCUUCAUGCCCUUCCUCCAGUCAUGCAAAGAGAUUCUCUGUCUCAAGGGCUGUCAUUCUUGGUAUUGCUAUUGGCGGGCUUGCAAUCCUGUUGUUGAUCCUAGCAGCUGCUUGUUGGCCACACAGUCCAGCCGUUUCCACAGAUUUCUCUGUAAGCAAACAAGAGAUUCAUGCUGUGUUAUCGAGCAAUGUUCCUCCCAAGCUUGUGAUCCUCCACAUGAAUAUGGCCCUCCAUGUAUAUGACGAUAUAAUGAGGAUGACAGAAAAUUUGAGCGAGAAAUACAUAAUUGGGUACGGGGCAUCUAGUACAGUUUAUAAAUGUGUUCUGAAGAACUGCAAGCCAGUGGCAAUCAAAAAGCUAUAUGCUCACUACCCGCAGAGUGUAAAGGAAUUUGAGACUGAGCUCGAGACAAUUGGAAGUAUCAAACACCGGAAUCUUGUCAGCCUUCAGGCUUACUCGCUAUCACCUGCUGGGAAUCUUCUCUUCUACGAGUAUAUGGAAAGUGGCAGCCUCUGGGACGUUUUACAUGCACCUUCGUCCAAGAAGACAAAACUGGACUGGGAGGCUAGACUCCAGAUUGCUCUUGGCACUGCCCAAGGGCUGGCUUAUCUUCACCAUGACUGCAGCCCGCGAAUAAUUCACAGGGAUGUAAAAUCGAAGAAUAUCCUCCUGGACAAGGACUAUGUGGCGCAUCUUGCUGACUUUGGCAUUGCCAAGAGCGUGUGCAUCUCCAAGACCCACACAUCAACCUAUGUGAUGGGCACAAUUGGCUACAUUGACCCUGAGUAUGCGCGGACAUCCCGCCUGAACGAGAAAUCUGAUGUGUACAGCUACGGCGUCGUCUUGCUCGAGCUGCUGACUGGGAAGAAGCCAGUUGACAAUGAGUGCAACCUCCAUCACCUGAUCCUAUCCAAAGCCGCGGACAACACCGUGAUGGAGAUGGUCGACCCAGACAUCACCGCCACAUGCAAGGAUCUCGGCGAGGUCAAGAGGAUGUUCCAGCUGGCGCUCCUCUGCAGCAAGCGGCAGCCGUCCGACCGACCGACGAUGCACGACGUCGUGCACGUCCUCAGCUGCCUGGUCUGCCCAGAAGCGCCCCCGAAGCCGGCGCAGCCACCGGCGUCGCCCCAGUCGUCCACGGCCCCGAGCUACGUGAACGAGUACGUCAGCCUGAGAAGCGGCAGCGCCCUCUCCUGCGCCAACUCGUCGAGCGCGUCCGACGCGGAGCUCUUCCUCAAGUUCGGCGAGGCGAUAUCGCAGAACACAGAGUAG
rnacentral:rRNA from 1 species